GGCUUGGUAGGCUUAGUUGGUAAAGCACUUGUCUAGCGAAUGAGGGUCGUGAGUUCAAAUCUCACCUGAUCUG
rfam:Aedes albopictus isolate Foshan contig21636, whole genome shotgun sequence.